AACGAACGCUGGCGGCAUGCCUAACACAUGCAAGUCGAACGAGACCUCCGGGUCUUUUGGCGCACGGGUGCGUAACGCGUGGGAACCUGCCCUUAGGUUCGGAAUAACUCCCCGAAAGGGGUGCUAAUACCGGAUAAUGUCUUCGGACCAAAGAUUUAUCGCCUUUGGAUGGGCCCUCGUUGGAUUAGGUAGUUGGUAGGGUAAAAGCCUACUAAGGCGAGGAUCCAUAGAUGGUUUGAGAGGAUGAUCAGCCACACUGGGACUGAGACACGGCCCAGACUCCUACGCGAGGCAGCAGUGGGGAAUAUUGGACAAUGGGCGAAAGCCUGAUCCAGCAAUGCCGCGUGAGUGAUGAAGGCCUUAGGGUUGUAAAGCUCUUUUACCCGGGAUGAUAAUGACAGUACCGGGAGAAUAAGCUCCGGCUAACUACGUG
rnacentral:rRNA from 1 species